CAUAGCCCAGCACGUGACUUGAUGCGUGUCGUGGACUGUCAUGGAAUCUUUGGGAUGAUCUCUUGUCAGGUACAGCCAGCGGCGGGACUUCCUGCAGCUUCACCAGGUAUUACAACGGCUACUACACCUACUACAGGUACUGUGUGUACAGCUGCUGGUCCACUGGCUGCUGCAGCUAUGACGACAGUUACAGUUACACCCCUUUGCCUGGCAUCAUCGCUGGCGGCGUCAUCGGCGGCAUUCUCUUCAUUUCGAUCAUCGUCGCCAUCGUCUGCUGCUGCAUCAAGAGUCAGUCACGACCGGGCCGCGUGAUACACUCGACAACUGGUACCUCCGGCAACGUGACGGUCGUCAGCUCAGCGAACCAGAUGAGCCAGGCGUGGUCAGCUCAGCCAGGCGCCAGUGCUCCGUAUGGUCCACAGUAUGGCCCACAGUAUGGUCCCCAGUAUGGCCCACAGUAUGGCCCACAGUAUGGAGCACAGUUUUCAGGGCCACCUCCUUACCAACCCUCCGGCAACAAGGGGGGACCACCUCCACCACCUCCUUUCUACAGCGACCCGGCUUAUCCUCCCACCGGCACAGCCAACCCGGCUAUUUAGGGGUAGGCUACAUCCAGCUGUCAGGGGGCACAGGUUACGAGGAUGUCGGGCAUCAGUAGGCAGCCCUCGUGCUCCAUGUAUCAGAGUUCAUGCUGUAAUGUCAAACCAAUAUUGGCUGUGGUAUCGACAGGUCAAAGGUUGUGUCAAUGGCGACAUUUUCAGAGAUUUUCAGCGAGUGUAUGAACUUGGACAUGAGUGGGCGGUAAUAAGUUGAUUAAUUACAGUAAAACACAAAUGUAACAACCCCUCCCCCCAAGAUUCCUUUCUGGAGAAAGAGAAAUGUAACAAGC